CGCGUAGGCGGGCUAUUAAGUUAUGGGUGAAAUCCCGGGGCUCAACCCCGGAACUGCCUGUAAAACUGGUAGCCUUGAGGUAUGGAGAGGGAAGUGGAAUUCCUGGUGUAGCGGUGAAAUGCGUAGAUAUCAGGAGGAACACCCAUGGCGAAGGCAGCUUCCUGUCCAUAUCCUGACGCUGAGGUGCGAAAGCUAGGGGAGCGAACGGGAUUAGAUACCCCGGUACGUCCUAGCCGUAAACCGAUGGAUACUAGGUGUUAGAGGUAUCGACCCCUCCUAGUGCCGCAGCUAACGCAUUAAGUAUCCCGCCUGGGGAGUACGGCCGCAAGGCUGAA
rnacentral:rRNA from 1 species